rnacentral:rRNA from 1 species
AUUGAACGCUGGCGGCAGGCCUAACACAUGCAAGUCGGACGGUAGCACAGAGGAGCUUGCUCCUCGGGUGACGAGUGGCGGACGGGUGAGUAAUGCCUGGGGAUCUGCCCGAUAGAGGGGGAUAACCACUGGAAGCGGUGGCUAAUACCGCAUAACGUCGCAAGACCAAAGAGGGGGACCUUCGGGCCUCUCACUAUCGGAUGAACCCAGAUGGGAUUAGCUAGUAGGCGGGGUAACGGCCCACCUAGGCGACGAUCCCUAGCUGGUCUGAGGGGAUGACCGGCCAAACUGGAACUGAGAGACGGUCCAGACGCCUACGGGAGGCAGCAGUGGGGAAUAUUGCACAAUGGGGGCAAGCCUGAUGCAGCCAUGCCGCGUGUAUGAAGAAGGCCUUCGGGUUGUAAAGUACUUUCGGCGGGGAGGAAGGCGAGGUGGUUAAUAACAGCGUCGAUUGACGUUACCCGCAGAAGAAGCACCGGCUAACUCCGUGCCAGCCGCCGCCGUAA